UUCUUCAUUCACACGCGCGCUCUCUCUCUCUCUUCAAAACCCUAAUUGAAACACAAUGGAGGCAGGAAACCAAGCACUGGUCAUAUCUAUGGCGAUUCUUCUCAUGCCACAAUGUUUUGAUUUAGGCUCCUAAAUCUUGCCCGCACUUCUUCUUUUCUCCUAGGGUUUAUAACCCGAUUCGUUUUUCUUCUUCUCUUAUUCUCUGAUUGUCUUUCCCUUUUCACACCAACGCUAGAUUACUUCCACCGCCGUUCUCCGCCUCUUAACAGUGUCGUCCGCCGCCUAUACGCAUCAUCACCGUCACCGCAACAACCAAUGGGUAAAGCUGCAAACUCCGGCCCCAAAUCUUCAUUGUCGGCUGCUAAAGAUGAAGCAUAUCUUCAAUCACUCAUCCCUAAACGAAUCCAUAAAAGCUCAAUAGAUUUCAGAUCUUAAGUCAAUUUCCGGUGACGUUACAUUGCUUGACGGGACUUUGAAGGAGGGAGAAGUGGGAAACAACUACUUUCGAUACAGCAACAGAGUUAUCGAAGAGUUUUGCUUCAAAUGCUUUGAUUUCUCACAUGUAUGGUUUGAUGUGGGACUUUGGAGCCAUAGGUUUUUAAGUGAUUAGAUCUUAUAUUGAUGUGUUGCAUAUGUUGUGUUGGUGGCGUAUGCAUGAAUGAAUUCUGGAGCAUAAGUGAUGGAAAAGUCUCUUUUGAAUCAUUGGCAAAGUUCUAUUUGACAUUUUGGACCCUUUCUUGAUAGCUGAGGUUCGUAUAUGAAUCAUUCAAGAAACUGCGUCCUGGGAUCCCUUUAAAAUGCUUGCAUGGAAGGAUGAAACAAGUGAAAGAAUGUUCAUAUUGCAACAAAGAUCAGUUCUUUUUUCAAUUGAAAGUCUUCAAUGGGCAUGGAUUUCAACAAAGGGGUCGAUUGGGUUGUUCAGUUACAUACAUAGAGUUGGCCCCACAGCACGUUAUGAUUCUAAAGGGCGGUCUGUCUUAUUUCUCUUGCCUUUUGAGAUGAAAAUGCUUGAGAGAUUACAAGAGAAAAAGAUACCUGUUGAAUUUGACAAGCCAAACACCAAACGAUCGCAAUUUGUUUCUGGUUUAUUAGCUGCUUCUGUUAGAAAAAACCCACACAACUGCAGCCUUUGGGCCAAUAAGCCUUCAAAACAAAAGUAAAGUCAAUUUACAAACAAAAAGGUAAAGAAUUUUUUUUAUGUGAGAAGGCUUCCCAUUGAUCACAUUUCAGCUUCAUUUGGUCUGCCUAUGUGUAGUCAUAUUUUUUUUAUAAUAACAAAUGCCACAAACUGCAUCUUCACACAAAACUUAAGGUAAUCACAUUAGCUUGCAAGAAAUAAAGUUGUUUACAAGCUAGCACAUAAAUACACAACUUGAUAUUUGAUAUACUAGCCAGAUGGCUUUUGCACUUAUAAUUUACCCACAUUGACCCAUUAACAACCUGCACAUUUUUCUACAAUUAUAUAAGCGACUCAAUUCUUAUUUUCUAUGUGUAAUUUAUUAAAUUAAUAGAUUUAUAAAUAUUUUUCUACAAUUAUAUAAGCGUCUUGAUUCUUAUUUUCUAUGCCACUGGCACUCUUUUGUCCAUUUUUCGUAUUGUUCUUACUUAUGUUUUUGAAACGGGUCAGUUGUAUCUAACGAUUUGGAAGUCAUUACACGUGUAUUCAAAUGCUUACACUGUGCUAAUUCGUUUAUAAAAAAAUGUAUAUUAUUAUUCACAGCCAUUAACUUUUGAAUCCUUUUUUACUGUAACAAUUUGAAAAAGGAUCAUCAUCAAUUAACUUUUGAGACACCAGGUAAUCUAAAUUUUGCACAAAAUUUCAAUCUUUUGAAUGUAACAAUUUGAAAAAAAAAAGGAUCUGAUAUGGGAAUUAGAUGUGUUUACAUCACAUACUAGCUAUUUAUUAAUAUGAUACGUUUGUUAAAUUGAUUACUAAUCGCUUAUAUGUGAUUACUUGGAUUUGUUAUAUAUAUGUCUGUAUUUAGAGCUAUGAUUACUCUUGGAACUAUUAUGAGUAUAACAGCUAAAGAAAAUAAUAUAUAAGAAAACAAAGAUGACCAGCGGGAAACUGGCCGAUAAAGUUUUAUUACACAAUGCAUCUAUCAUUUUCUCGAAACUUCAGGUAUGCGAGUUUGAUCGAAGAAGUUUGAUUUGGAAUUGUUUACAAGGGUUGUUUGGAUUCUGGGAAGGUAGAUGUUGUUCAUUAUUAUUCUGUUAUUUAAGAGAACUGAAAUUGUUGAUGUGCUUUUUUGAAAGUGAAUAAAAGCAACUUUUACUAAUCGAAGGAAUUGAGUUAGCCGACGGCGGCAGACCCACAGACCCUAAUAUACAUCUACAACAUCUAAGGCUUUCAGUAUUUGCUUCUUUGUGUCGACGAUGUUAAGAAUUGCAUAAUCGGUCUUUCCCGGUUCGUUUUGAAUGGUCGGCUGGGAACACUAGCGGUGAAGAAGCUCAAAAGAAUGGAAAAUGGACAAGUAUCACUAAUCCAUGAUGGCUACCAAAAUCAGCUGUCGCUCAACUUUGUAUUACGCUAUUACCCGAACGUGGAUUACUAAAUGCAAGUGGUGGCCUUAGGUUUUGUUGGUUCUGAUGGGACAAAGACUACAGAGGCCACAAGCGUUUGGUGGAUAACAGAUGAUUUGCUGUCAGCCCUUCAAGAAAUAGUUUCUCUCAUGGUCAAUUGUAUGUUGCCUUAUCAAGGGUGAAAACAAGAAAUGGGGUCAAAAUACUCAUUCUUGACAACAACGGAAAAGCUACAGAUAAAACAACUAAUGUGGUGUAUAAAGAGAUUUUCAACGAAUUGUGAUAUCUGCAUAUUGAUGGUUAAUAAAAAGUUUUUACAUGAUCCAUUUCAAGACGUGUAUAUAUUCGUAACAUUUUAUGUAAACAACGAUGAUAAAGCGAUAUUAUCUUUAAUCAACCCGUGUAAUACACGGGUCCUUAGGCUA